GGGGAUAUUAGCUCAUUGGUAGAGUGCUUACCUUGUAUACACUAAGGCCCUGGGUUCAAUCCCCAGCACCCCCC
rnacentral:tRNA from 1 species